CGCCCAUUUUACCGGGCAUGCAUCGAAGCAGACUCGUCUGUUCUUGUGAGAGACAUAUAUCCCAGAAUGCAUUUCACCUCAGCAAGCUGCGAUGGGAGAUGAGAAAACGCACAACUGGACAACUGAGGAAACCCAAGCCCUCAUAGAGUGGCGUGCGGGCAACGAAAGCCUGUUCACAGGCCAACGAAACUCCAGCAAGACUGGAUGGGAGUGAGUAUUGAGCUUCUAUCAGUGUGUAAUUAUGAGGAGGGCCAGGGUCUUGGGCCAUCUCCAAUGCCUCAUGACCAGCAAGAUGAGCAAAGCCAGCCCCAACCUCCUCCAUCUCCUCCGGUUUGGGGAAAUGAAUGAUCCGGUGUAUAAUGGUCAUCAUUUCCUCCACAACAUUGUGAACCAUCCGGCAAAUUGUUGCAAGCGGCAUUGCAAAUACGUCUGCAGUGACCCUGUAGGAGGCUCCGCAGGCAAGCCAGUAGACAGUCACCAGCACCUCCAUCUCGUGGCUCCACCCGUGGGGUUUUUGCCGGGGCAGAAGCUGGACCAGCAUGUUAAAGCUGUUCCUGGACAGCCUGAAUGCUGGCCUCAUGUCGGCCUCAGAACAAAAUAUCGAAAUGAUGGGGACAUCAUUCUUCAUCACAGCAUAUUUAGUAACAGGAUGUUUGUUCUGUAAUAAACAAAUGCAACAACUGUAUUAAUAUUGUUAAAUUGGUUAUUCAGUUCGUAAUAUUAAAGAGAUGCUGCAUUUUACGAUUAUGCUUUGACUAUUUCAUAUAGUUAAUAAAAACGUUUCCAUGGAUUCCAUAAUGAAUGAGGUCUUGCUGCGUUUUGCAGUAACGCAUAAUGAUGUUUAUGCCUCUGUCCAUCUGAAUACCAACCUCUUAAUGUUUGAAUACCAAGACGACCAUUAGGUGUGUAUGCUUUAGUAGGCUAAUCGAUGGUCAGAUGCUGUUACUGUAUCAAACCUCCUCUGUACCUGGUGGUUUAUUAGGCCUGGAUUAAGCUAACCUUGAUACACAUAACAACUGCCCUAUCAUUAAUAACAUCUGUAGGUUUCGUAUGUAAAAGGUAUCUUUUCUGUAAUGUGCCUUUGAGGGCAUUGCUCCAAACAAAAUCUGUAUUACAACCACCUUGCAGUAUCAGCCACAACAGUCAAACAGCAGAGAAAACCACAGCUGACAUUAAUAUAAAUGAUUACAUAUCAUCAAUGCUUUAUACUGAAUUAAACUUACAAAGAAAGCGAGACAUGCUAUUAUGGCACAUCUCCUCGCCAUCCUUCGCCUUAUCUUGGAUUUUCGCUUGCGUAUGGUUCUCCUGAGUUGGGCAGCCUCCUCUUCAGCUUCUGUAUACAGUUUGCCGACCGCAACAGCAAUAUGUAUCAGAUCCAUUUAGUUACUACUCAAAUUAAUUAAUUAUUAAAUAUAAUAAUACCAA